rnacentral:rRNA from 1 species
AGUGAACGCUGGCGGUAGGCCUAACACAUGCAAGUCGAACGGCAGCACAGUAAGAGCUUGCUCUUACGGGUGGCGAGUGGCGGACGGGUGAGGAAUACAUCGGAAUCUACUUUUUCGUGGGGGAUAACGUAGGGAAACUUACGCUAAUACCGCAUACGACCUACGGGUGAAAGCAUGGGAUCUUCGGACCUUGCGCGAUUGAAUGAGCCGGUGUCGGAUUAGUUAGUUGGGGGGGUAAUGGCCCACCAAGGCGACGAUCCGUAGCUGGUCUGAGAGGAUGAUCGGCCACACUGGAGCUGAGACACGGUCCAGACUCCUACGAGAGGCAGCAGUGGGGAAUAUUGGACAAUGGGCGCGAGCCUGAUCCAACCAUACCGCGUGGGUGAAGAAGGCCUUCGGGUUGUAAAGCCCUUUUGUUGGGAAAGAAAAGCAGCAGGUUAAUACCCCGCUGUUCUGACGGUACCCAAAGAAUAAGCACCGGCUAACUUCGUG